ensembl:lncRNA
UUUUUAAAUGAUUACUACCUUAAAUACAAACCUGCUGACUGAUGAUAACCCCAAAGGCUUCUUCCAGUGUGUGGUCUUUUUACAAUGUUUGUUCUAAUUGUCAUAAUGGCCAUUUUAGGGCACAGUCUCCAUUGAAAAUGUGCAUUAAUGACUGAAAGGUGGUUUCUCUUUAAAAUAAAAUUAGGAUGUACGAUGAAAAGGUAUCCUUAGGUUUUACUUGGUGUAACAGUAUUUUAAAAUGAAAAGUCAUAGUAUAUAUCUAUUUCCUUGAACAAAACCUACUCUCCUUGGGUUAUUUCUCUCAAACACUGCUAUAAUUUGUAUCCAGAAUGGACCCCAAGGUGCUGGAGAAGGAACUGAGAGUUCUACAUCUUGUUCUGAAGGAAACCAGAAGACUGUCUCAUGGGCAGCUAGGAGGAGGGUCUCAAAGCCACUCUCAUAGUGACACACUUUCUCCAACAGGGUUACACCUCCUAACAGUGCCAGUCCCUGGGUCAAGCAUAUUCACUCCACGAGGCCUACCCAGGCAGGGAAGAGCUAUUAAGCUUCUCUGUCAGAUUAUAAUAUAGAAUGUACUAGUUACUAGUUGGUUUUUGGGGUUUUUUGUUUUGCCCACUUUGGUUUCAGUUUGUUUUGUUUUUUCUUUUUUCUUUUUUUCGGAGCUGGGGACCGAACCCAGGGCAGGCAAGCGCUCUACCACUGAGCUAAAUUCCCAACCCCAUUUUGUUUGUUUUUAAGACAGGGUUUUUCUAUGUAGCCCUGGGCCAGGUUGGCCUUGAACUCAGAGAACUAUUUGCCUCUGCCUUCUGAGUGUUGGCAUUAAAAGCAUGUGCCACCUCCACCCAAAGUCACCUGUAUUAUUCAGGGUUCCCUAAAGGAUGAAUAUUAAAGUUAGAUUUAUUAGAGUUGUUUAUAGGCUGUGGUCUGGGUAGGCCAUAAUGGGUGUCUACUGAUGGAAAGGCCAAUCAUCCUUGGUUCUGUCCAGGAGCAUCCUUGGUUCUGUCCAGGAGUCUAGUUAUCUCAGCAGUUUCAAUCUGGUGCUAGGGUCCUAGAAGAUUCCUAAAGAGCUCCUGGUCUUUAAUCUGUGUUGGAAUCCCAAAAAGUAGGUUCUAAAAUGAGCAAAGGAAUGCCUCAGAACCUUGAUGGAUCAAUUUGCCAGUGUGCUGGCAAGAGAGUGGGGAGAGAGAGGGGAUGGCAGAAGGAGGCCCAUAGCUAGCCUUGCAGGCUCAUGCUGUAAUUGGAAACUGAAAGUCAGGGAUGAGGAAAGUGUAGCAGCAAAGGAAACCUACUUUUUUGUGGUAAUGAAUGCAAAUCUCUCUGCUUGAGUGACCGGUGCAUGCGAAGCAUGUGUGUUCAGUGCAAGUGUGCUCACUGCAGGUGUGUUCAGGGCAGGUGUGCUCACUGCAGGUGUGUACAGGGCAGGUGUGCUCACUGCAGGUGUGUUCAGGGCAGGUGUGCUCACUGCAGGUGUGUUCAGGGCAGGUGUGCUCACUGCAGGUGUGUUCAGGGCAGGUGUGUUCAAUGCAAGUGUGCUUAAUGCAGGUGUGUUCAGGGCAGGUGUGCUCAGGGAAGGUGUGUUUAGGGUAUGUGUGUUCAGUACACACACACACACACACACACACACACCUUUAAAUAGAAAGUUUCUAGAUUGCUUUGCCCUUUUGUUCUUUCAAUUUACAAAGUGUAAUAGGUAAACUAACUUUUUCACAAACACUAAUUUCCCCUUGAGGAGAAAUGACUUUACUGUGUUAUCAGGACACUUCAAUUCGAAUCUCUGUUUUAACGAGUUUCAGUUAGUUAACACAAAUACUAAUAGAAAAAAAAAGCAGUGGUUUUGGGUAUCAGAAAUCUAAGAACAACUGAAAAUGCUAUUAUAUACUAAUUCACCUCAUUUAAAGUCAUUUACAGGGGUU